AUGCAAGUCGAACGAAGUAGCAAUACUUAGUGGCAGACGGGUGAGUAACAUGUAGGUAUCUACCCUGUGGCCUGGAAUAACACGAGGAAACUUGUGCUAAUACUGGAUAAGUCUUUACGGAGAAAGCUUUAUGCACCAUUGGAUGAGCCUGCACUUGAUUAGUUUGUUGGUAGGGUAAUGGCCUACCAAGACUGUGAUCAAUAGCUGAUUUGAGAGGAUGAUCAGCCACAUUGGGACUGAGACACGGCCCAAACUCCUACGGGAGGCAGCAGUGGGGAAUCUUGCACAAUGGAGGAAACUCUGAUGCAGCGAUGCCGCGUGAGUGAAGAAGGCCUUUGGGUUGUAAAGCUCUUUCGUCGGGGAAGAAAAUGACUGUACCCGAAUAAGAAGGU
rnacentral:rRNA from 1 species